CGCGUUCAAACAUCGGUUCUCGUACGAUCACUAAAGUUAAGCAACGUCGAGCCUGGUCAGGACCUAGAUGGGUGAGAGCUUGGGAAUACCAGAUGCAGCG